rnacentral:tRNA from 1 species
AAAGAUUUAGUUAAAAAUUAAAAUAAUAUUAAUUUGUCAAAUUAAAGUUAGACUACAAUAAAAACCUAAUCUUUA